AAAAGGUAAUAAGUCCACAUCGCAAUAGACUUCAUUCAGGUACAUUGGAGGCAUUAAUGUGUUCUCAAAAUUGGUUAUGGGCUGACCUAAAAGGUGAAGAGUCUUGUUCGACAAUCUACGAUGAUAAUGAUUUAGAAGAUAGUAAGUAUUUUUCAUUAAUCUCUAAAAUAUUGGUUUUUAAAAUAUUGCAAAAAUUUAUUACUUAUUUUUUUACGUGUUGUAUUGUAGUUGAUAAUUGAUGAGAUGGAUUUGAGUUUCACUGUCCAACCUUGAUGUUUGACAUAAAAGUAGCAGAUAGGCCAGGGGAUCCAACUAAGUGGAGUGAGAUUGUUGAUGUUAUAGCAGCAUUAUCUAUUUCAGUUAUUGCUAAUGCGUAUGUUUUUUAGUAUGAUGAUUUUCAACGCAUUAAAAGUGUCAGAUAUUGUCUAAUUGUUUUCUUAUUUCUUCAAACUUCAUAGUGUGAUGGAAUUAGCAAUGUCAAUUUAUGAAGCAAUGAUUUGGACAUUUAAUUAUACAUAUUUUAUUUUAUAUUA